UCUUUAAACCAGCUACCAAAAGGUAAAGGUCUAAAGCCCUUGUAAAUUGGUGAUAGGAGA
rnacentral:ribozyme from 2 species